rnacentral:rRNA from 1 species
UACGGGGGGGGCAAGCGUUGUUCGGAAUUACUGGGCGUAAAGGGCUCGUAGGCGGCCAACUAAGUCGGACGUGAAAUCCCCAGGCUCAACCUGGGAACUGCGUCCGAUACUGGGAGGCUUGAAUCCGGGAGAGGGAUGUGGAAUUCCAGGUGUAGCGGUGAAAUGCGUAGAUAUCUGGAGGAACACCGGUGGCGAAGGCGGCAUCCUGGACCGGUAUUGACGCUGAGGCGCGAAAGCCAGGGGAGCAAACGGG